rnacentral:misc_RNA from 1 species
AGCCGCCACGCAUUUGUGAAGUGGGCGCAGAGAAGUGACAAAAUUUACAUUACUGUUGAGUUGCCUGAUGCUAAGGACGUAAAGCUCAAGCUUGAACCUGAAGGAAAAUUCAGCUCUUCUGCCAUUAAAGAUGAUGCCCUUACGAGGUUGUCAUUGAAUUGUUUGAUAAAGGUCAAUGUGGAGGAGAGCACGUAUAGUAUUGGUGUGAGAAUUAUUCUGUGUUAUAAAGAAAGUAGAGCAGAAGUGGUGGAGCAGGUUGGUUAAGCAGGAAACAAAGCCUCCUGUGUUUCUCAAAGUUGACUGGGAUAAGUGGGCUGAUGAAGAUGAUGAG